UUCGGCGACCAUGGCGAAGGGGAAACACCCGGCUCCAUUCCGAACCCGGAAGUUAAGCCCUUCAGCGCCGAUGGUACUGCACACGGGAGUGUGUGGGAGAGUAGGACGUCGCCGGAC
rnacentral:rRNA from 1 species